rnacentral:rRNA from 1 species
UGCGCAGGCGGUUAUGUAAGACAGGCGUGAAAUCCCCGGGCUCAACCUGGGAAUUGCGCUUGUGACUGCAUAGCUAGAGUAUGUCAGAGGGGGGUAGAAUUCCACGUGUAGCAGUGAAAUGCGUAGAGAUGUGGAGGAAUACCAAUGGCGAAGGCAGCCCCCUGGGAUAAUACUGACGCUCAUGCACGAAAGCGUGGGGAGCAAACA